rnacentral:rRNA from 1 species
GGUAUGUAAAGCUCUAUCAGCAGGGAAGAUAAUGACGGUACCUGACUAAGAAGCACCGGCUAAAUACGUGCCAGCAGCCGCGGUAAUACGUAUGGUGCAAGCGUUAUCCGGAUUUACUGGGUGUAAAGGGAGCGCAGGCGGUGCGGCAAGUCUGAUGUGAAAGCCCGGGGCUCAACCCCGGUACUGCAUUGGAAACUGUCGUACUAGAGUGUCGGAGGGGUAAGCGGAAUUCCUAGUGUAGCGGUGAAAUGCGUAGAUAUUAGGAGGAACACCAGUGGCGAAGGCGGCUUACUGGACGAUAACUGACGCUGAGGCUCGAAAGCGUGGGGAGCAAACAGGAUUAGAUACCCUGGUAGUCCACGCCGUAAA